rnacentral:tRNA from 1 species
GCACCGCCGAGCCGCUGGCGCUCGACGACUACGCGCUCUCGCGGAGCACGGGCGCGUUCCUGCUGAUCGACCCGGCGGACGGGGCG